rnacentral:rRNA from 1 species
GACCGCGUGAGCGAUGAAGGCCUUCGGGUCGUAAAGCUCUGUUGUUAGGGAAGAACAAGUACCAGAGUAACUGCUCGUACCUUGACGGUACCUAACCAGAAAGCCCCGGCUAACUACGUGCCAGCAGCCGCGGUAAUACGUAGGUGGCAAGCGUUAUCCGGAAUUAUUGGGCGUAAAGCGCGCGCAGGCGGUUUCUUAAGUCUGAUGUGAAAGCCCCCGGCUCAACCGUGGAAGGUCAUUGGAAACUGGGGAACUUGAGUGCAGAAGAGGAAAGCGGAAUUCCCCGUGUAGCGGUGAAAUGCGUAGAGAUGUGGAGGAACACCAGUGGCGAAGGCGGCUUUCUGGUCUGUAACUGACGCUGAGGCGCGAAAGCGUGGGGAGCAAACAGGAUUAGAUACCCUGGUAGUCCACGCCGUAAACGAUGAGUGCUAAGUGUUAGAGGGUUUCCGCCCUUUAGUGCUGAAGUUAACGCAUUAAGCACUCCGCCUGGGGAGUACGGGCGCAAGACUGAAACUCA